rnacentral:tRNA from 1 species
GCUAUUGUAGUACAAGGGUAGUACGAUACGUUGUGGUUGUAUUAAUCCGGGUCCGAUUCCCGGCAAUGGCA